UGCUUCCUGGAAUGUUUGCAAGUUUGCUUCAUGUUCCUGGCCGAUGCUAUAAAAUUAGGAAAUUGAUUCCAUUACUAUUGUGCAAGCUCGACUUGAAUCGAGAAGCCUACGGUAAUGAUGAUACUUCCGCCGUGUCCACUUCGGCACACGGACGAAAAGCAUACAGCGGCAUUUUGGGAGGCAC
rnacentral:other from 1 species